CCUCACCAGAUUCCCCUUUCUCUCUCUCUUCCCUCGUCAUUCUCCAUCUCCUCUCUCGCCUCUCCAUCUCUCCCUCGAUUCCCUCUGUCCCUCUCAAUUCCCUCAUUCUUUCUCUACAAACAAAGUCCUCUCAAUGAUACACCUUUGGGACUGUUGCCAUUAUUGCUAGUGGUGGAUCCCAGUUGUCAACGAAAAGUUGCUCAUGAGAAACCCUAAUUUACAAAUUCGAUGGACUAUGAUGCAAAUCAAUUGGGGUUUUUUGUGCUAAUGCAUUGCUGGUAGGAUUAUGAACAAAAUCCUCAACCCAAUUUAAAUUUUCAACAACUCCGGCGGCGGCAGUGCCUUGGCAAAAACUUAAAGAAAGAGAUGUUGACAAAAGCUUCAUGUUUUUGCUUCUUUUCUUCGAUCUACUUUAAAAAGAAAAUUAAUUGAGAAAUCAGUCAUGGGAAAGGGAGUUGUUGCAUUUGUUGUUUUAGUAGAUUUUGUGGGGGGGUUGGGGUGGUUAAUUGAGGAGUUCUUGAAGUGGGUUUAAGGGAUUUUUAUUGUUUCUUUGGUGUUGGUGAAUCCGGUUCUUCAAUUUUGAUUGUCAUUGUAGAGAUGAGAGGUAGCAGCAAGAAGAUUAUUCUUAAAAAGCACUAUUUUUUUCUUUUGUCGCACAAUUUCUGGUGGUU
rnacentral:lncRNA from 1 species